UCUUCUCUGCCCCCUAAGCCCUAAACAAAACUCAGAGGCUUCACCAACGCCAUUAUAACACAGGGACCAAAGCACCAUAAAGCCCGAUUCUUCAAGCGCUAUUUCCCUCACUCACAACACCAAGUCGACUGUUCCCUUUACAACCCUAACCAUUAAAAGACCUCCAGUGCUCAAUCAACCCUGAACACUUGCCAGGGACCUUCUAACAGUGAUAUUAUACUCAACUCCAAAAGUCCUCCUAAAACCCACCCACAAAACCCUACAAACCCACCUACACACCAAUCAAACCCACCUACACAACCCACCAAACCCACCCGGAUAUAUACUCCAAGUCUGUGUGUAGUCUCUUGGUUUUUCCUCAAAGCCUUCAGACCUCACCAACAAUUCUUUGAUCCUGACGAGACUCUCACGACUUCACACACACACACACACACACACACACACACACACACACACACACACACACACACACACACACACACACACACACACACAUACAGACAGACACAUACACAGUCCUCACUAGCGAGAGAAAAAGAAAAAAUAUACAAAGACUUCUUCUCUCCUCUGAUUCUAAAGAUCCCAAAAACCAACACCAUAACAAAAAAUCCAUUUGGGUUUUUAUUUCACCUUGUUAGCUGAACGAUUCCUUCCUCCCACAGUUAAGUCCUUCAUAUAAACCCCAACUUAAAACACUAAAAAUAACAAAAAACGAACAAUUGAGCACACAGAAAUAAAAAACCUUCGGGAAAAUAUAAAACACGACCUUCCUGAAACUAGGAUAGUACGCCCUUCCUUCCUCUCUCUCUCUCCCUCCCUCAUCCCUCUCACGUUUUCUUUGACUCGAAAAAGUAAAAGAGGAACGGGUGCCGGCAGUAAGAACGAGACAGAGAAAAGAGAGAGGAGAACUUUGGCUCUAUCUUCACCAUGGUUCCUGCAGUCUCUUAGAACUCCUCCCGAAGGCUGUUGGUUGAAGACCCUGGGAGGAGGAGGAGGAGGAGGAGAAAGGGAAGUAAGGGCUGAGGCAACUGACGAAGAACCCCAAAGGCACCACGAUGACACCCAGGGGCAACACGUCUGGGUCCGUUAAGGGCUUCCUGGAUGUAAAGAUUCCCGCCAGGAAGAGGAGAAGCAUUUCGCUGUUUCGGGUACAGGUGUGGAAGCGUCGAUGUUGGGUGGUGGUGCGCAACGAUCGGUCACCAGAAGAUGGAGCUGGCCGAACUAACCAAUUGAGUCUGAGCGUGGAAAUCUACACCCGACACGAGGGUUCCAACCAUCCUACCGAGGGCACACACACCUCGAUCUCGUCCAUAGGAUACGUCGAGCCAAGUCCAAGUCACACCCCUACGCCUUGAGGAUGUGGACGACGAGGUGAGGCUCUACUGUACCUGAGUGGCCAGAGUGAAACGGAGAGCCAGCGAUGGAUGGCGGAGAUCAGGAACAUCCUCUGGCCUCCUACCCACCUGGAGGCCAUUAGGAGAGCUGGUUUAUACAUUCAAGACAAAGUGAUCGACAGGUACACAGACACACACGUAAACACAUACUUGGGUGAUGCCGCUCACGGGUCGACGUGGGAGGUGAGCGCCAUCAGUGUGGGGGACGCGGGUGCUGACUGGACCAGCCUAGCGGGCCUCUACGGACGUCUGGCCGUCAGGGAGGCUAACCUGGUCAUUAAGGACACGCA